UACGUAGGGGGCAAGCGUUGUCCGGAUUCAUUGGGCGUAAAGAGCGUGUAGGCGGCCAGGUAGGCCGGUUGUGAAAACUGGAGGCUCAACCUUCAGAGGUCGACCGAAACCAUCUGGCUAGAGUCCGGGAGAGGAGAGUGGAAUUCCUGGUGUAGCGGUGAAAUGCGCAGAUAUCAGGAAGAACACCCGUGGCGAAAGCGGCUCUCUGGAACGGUACUGACGCUGCGACGCGAAAGCGUGGGGAGCGAACAGG
rnacentral:rRNA from 1 species